UCUUGGGAAAAUAACUGUCACUCUUGGAGAUUGCCCACUCUGAGGGGGUUUGGUUGGAUAUGUUGUCUGGAAAACCUUGUAGUAGCUGGUGACAGUUGGUGUUAGAGGAAAAGAAAGAUCCUUUUAUCUACCUGUGUAGAAGAUGCCCACAUGGCAAGACAUGAGCAACUACUCGGGAAGUAUGAAUGUCCUGCAAAGGAAGCAAAUACUAGUGUUAGCUCCAAGUUGAUGUAAAGAUUCCAUGGCUUUGCCAUGGGAAAAAAAAUAAAGACAAAAACCAAAA